GUCAGUUUGAGAGAGACAAUUUCAGAGAUCACGUUCCACAACUUUCAAUAUUUAUUAACCAGAAAAGUUUGCAAUGAGAGACACUUGACCUAUAUUAUGGACCAUGAGACCGCAUACACAUACCCUUAAGAAAACUUUCAAAAUUUGUCACAGAUGGAGUUAUCUAGAGGAUGAAAAUUCCACUUGGUAGUAAAACGAACAUGCAAUGAUACAGAAUCUCAAAUUUUAUGUUUUAUGGCGUUUCAUGUCCAACAGAUGAAAAUUUUAAUCUAGCUAAGGCCAAAAGCUGUUAUCUAUGAGCCUCACUUCAAGUUUGUUAUGUUUUCUCAAAGCAAGAAAAAAGUCUAAGGUUCAACAUCCAGUUAAUGCAUUUCCUCAGUAUGUAAAGGGAGAUUGAAGAACAAAAGGUUUAUCUAGAAACUAAUCUACAUAUGCAGGAAUUAGGGAAGUGGGAAAGAGCAGUUAACAGCAAAUGACAUCUUAUUGUAUUAAUGCAAACACAAAUAAAAGAUCUAUUUUGCCUCGCAUUAAAAAAAGCAGAAGUAAGAACAACUAAUCACAUUUAAGUAAACAAACCCCCAAUGUUUUAAGUGCCUAAGAC
rnacentral:misc_RNA from 1 species